rnacentral:lncRNA from 1 species
AUUGCCGGAUGUGGUCUUGGGGAGGUAAGUCCCCGAGCCCCACUUCCUCCUCUCUCCGAGGGAGCAGACUGCUCCAGAGUCAGGGAGGGAAUGCAUCGAGGAUAGAGGCAAAACUGUAGGGAAACCAGCAAGCAAGCGCACACUGCUGCGUGGCCAAGCCAGCUCCCUGGGGGUGACUGCAGGAGCCUCCUUCUUUCUGGUCUUCUCCUACCCUAGCCCAUCGCCACUCCCCGCGAAGAACAUAGGAGGGCACCACCGCCGUAGAAAACAGCUUGGCAGUUCUAGAUAAGGUUAGAAAUUUCUAGUCAGGCUGAACAUUUGGCCUCUGAACUAACAACCCCACGCCCAGGUAUUGCCGUGUGGAAUUCUACCCCCUUGUGCAAGAAUGAAUGGCUGCACAAUUCAUGGCAGCUAAAAAUGGAAACAGCCUGGUUGUAUCAACAGGAAAAUAGAAACUGAGUGAUUGCAGCUCUAGCAAAAGGACUCCUGGGAUGCGCAGAACCACGAGGGAGCUCUGAACACUCUGGGUGAAAGAAGCCAGACUCCCUGUGGUUUCAUUUAUAUGGAAAAAUCAAGACAGAAUUGGAGAGCCAGGGCUACCUGAGGGGAAGGGAGAGGCAAAGCCCCUGGAGAACCCUGGGAAGGAUGGGUUCUACAGCCUGACCCGACAAGGACACACAAGAGUCUAUGUAUGGACAUCUGAAUACUUUUUGCAGGGGUCAGUACCCAGGUCUUUGAUUCUGUAGUCCCUACUCCCACCCUAUUCUUUCUCUCAGCCAGCUAUGGAUCACAAUAUUUAGCCAAGGGGCUGGAGAGAUGUUUCCAUGGUUAAGAGAGAAUAUUGCUCUUGCAGAGAACCAGAGUUCAGCUCCCAUGCCCACAUCUAGGGACUCACGUGGAUCUGUAACUACCUCCAGGUAUCCUGGUACCCUCUUCUGGCCUCCCUAGCACCAAGCACAUACCCACUCACAGACACACAUAUAUAUGCAUACAUUUCUUUUAAAUCCUUAAAAACAAAUGUUAAGC